UGGAAUGCCCUUUGAUGUUAUGAUUACUUGUACACCUACAAUGUGAUAGGAUUGUAUGACACUCAUCUAAGGAUUAAUGGCUCUUCUGUAUACUUCUGAUAAUUUUCUUCUCGUUUUGAUUCCAAAAGCUGGCCAGAAUGUGUUUGAAUUCAUACAGAAAUAAUGUUGAUAUCUAAAAUCCAUGUUGAACUUCUCUGAAGAAAGGGCAACAAUGAUUGCAGCUGUGGAUUUGCAGGAAUUUGUUCCUUUCGGUCGAGACCACUGCAAACACCACCCUAUGCUUUGAACCUUCAGCUUCAGCAGCUGCAGCCAGCCUCUGAGCUGUGGUCGUCUGAUGGUGCUGCUGGCUUGGUGGGAUCCCUGCAGGAGGUUACACUCCACGAAAAACAGAAGGAAAGCUGGCAGCUAAGGAGAGGCGGAAGUGAAAUUGGAGAUGUGGAUUAUGACAAGGAACUCAAUGUGGCUGGAAAUAUGGUGAUAUGGAGCAAAGGAAGUACAAGCCAGGCCUUUACAAGGCCUUUAUAGUUAAUAGUCCUGUUCAACAGGAAGAGUCCCACAUCUCUUUCCGGAGAAGGUGCUGUGGAGACUGUGGAAAUGACAACAAAGAGCCUCAAAUCUCGUGGAGAAGGUGCUUUGGAGACUGGAAAUGACAACAGAGGAUUUAGAAUAUCACUAAAAUCAUUUAGGUGUUUUGGUAUUCCUUUCAUUUUCCAGCAUUGUGAUUACUUAAUUUUCAAAAUGUUUUAACUGA